AACGUAUUACUAUUAUCUUUUGUUAGUUAUAUAUUCAUUUUCAAUUUAAAAAUAAACACUUAUUUAAAUCACAUUCUACUUUUGAGAUGAGCUCAAACUAACAUUAAAUUGUUUAUAUUAUCUAUACUUCUUCCUAUUAAUGUUUCGAUUUUAAAAUUAAUACGUAGCUAUACUUUACUUUUCUAAUAAAAGUGUAAUUAGAAAGGCAAGUACACCUGUUUAAAGUUUAUCUUCUAAGAUUUGUUUACUUUAGAACUAUAGCAGUUAAUCAUUUCAAUGAUUAAUAAUAUCUUUACAAUUAAGGUAAUAUAUUUU
rnacentral:sRNA from 1 species